rnacentral:rRNA from 1 species
AGAGUUUGAUCAUGGCUCAGGACGAACGCUGGCGGCGUGCCUAACACAUGCAAAGUCUACGAGAAUUGGGUAGCAAUAUCCAUAGUAAAGUGGCGCAAGGGUGAGUAAUAUGUAAGUAACCUGCCCAUAGGUUUGGAAUAACGUCGAGAAAUCGACGCUAAUACCGUAUAAUGCAGCGGCAUCGCAUGAUGAUGUUGUUAAAGUUUUUACGCCUAUGGAUGGGCUUGCAGCCGAUUAGCUAGUUGGUAAGGUAACUGCUUACCAAGGCAACGAUCGGUAGGCUGGUCUGAGAGGAUGAUCAGCCACACUGGAACUGAGACACGGUCCAGACUCCUACGGGAGGCAGCAGUGAGGAAUAUUGGGCAAUGCCCGGAAGGGUGACCCAGCAACGCCGCGUGGAGGAUGAAUGCCGUAAGGUUGUAAACUCCUGUGAGAAGGGGACGAAAAAGUGGGAUUUAAUCCAAAUUGACUGUACCUUCAGAGGAAAACCCGGCUAACUACGUGCCAGCAGCCGCGGUAAUA